rnacentral:piRNA from 1 species
UGCCUAUUUUUGAUGUUUUGUGUAAAUUU